UAGGGAAUAUUCCGCAAUGGGCGAAAGCCUGACGGAGCGACGCCGCGUGAACGAAGAAGUCUUUCGGGAUGUAAAGUUCAAUCGGCCGGGGAAGAAGGGAUAGUAUAUGAAUAAUAUAUUGUUCAUGACGGUACCUGGAAUGAAGCCACGGCUAAUUACGUGCCAGCAGCCGCGGUAAUACGUAAGUGGCAAGCGUUAUCCGGAAUCACUGGGUGUAAAGGGUGUGUAGGCGGUAAUGUAAGUUUUAUGUUUAAUGAUGCGGCUCAACCGCAUUUGUGCAUAAAAUACUGCAUUGCUGGAGUGGUGGAGAGGAAACUGGAACUCAAGGUGUAGCGGUGAAAUGUGUAGAUAUCUUGGGGAACACCAAUGGCGAAGGCAGGUUUCUGGCCACUAACUGACGCUGAGACACGAAAGCGUGGGGAGCAAACGGG
rnacentral:rRNA from 1 species